rnacentral:rRNA from 1 species
UAAUACGGAGGGAGCUAGCGUUGUUCGGAAUUACUGGGCGUAAAGCGUACGUAGGCGGUUACUCAAGUCAGAGGUGAAAGCCCGGGGCUCAACCCCGGAACUGCCUUUGAAACUAGGUAGCUAGAAUCUUGGAGAGGUCAGUGGAAUUCCGAGUGUAGAGGUGAAAUUCGUAGAUAUUCGGAAGAACACCAGUGGCGAAGGCGACUGACUGGACAAGUAUUGACGCUGAGGUACGAAAGCGUGGGGAGCAAACAGGAUUAGAUACCCUGGUAGUCCACGCCGUAAACGAUGAUAACUAGCUGUCCGGGCACUUGGUGCCUGGGUGGCGCAGCUAACGCAUUAAGUUAUCCGCCUGGGGAGUACGGUCGCAAGAUUA